UACGGGGGGAGCAAGCGUUGUUCGGAUUUACUGGGCGUAAAGGGCGCGUAGGCGGUCACUACAAGUCAGUUGUGAAAUCUCUGGGCUUAACUCAGAACGGUCAACUGAUACUGUCGGACUAGAGUGCAGAAGGGGCAACUGGAAUUCUCGGUGUAGCGGUGAAAUGCGUAGAUAUCGGGAGGAACACCAGUGGCGAAGGCGGCUUCCUGGACCUGUUCUGACGCUGAGGAGCGAAAGCGUGGGGAGCGAGCCGG
rnacentral:rRNA from 1 species